rnacentral:RNase_P_RNA from 1 species
AACGCAGAGAGGCAGACCGUCGGCGCUUGCGCUGUGGAAAGUCCACCCACUCACGAAGUCCAUUGAGCUUUAAUCGGCUCGUUUGACAACAGAAACGAACUGCUCUGUUCGUACGAUGAUCCUCACGGUGAGGUUGUACAGAGUAAGAUGAAAAAAUGUUAAACUGGAUGAGUGCAAGGUUAAAAACCGCUUAGUCAAAUGUCUGCACAGUCUUUCCAAUUGAGGGGACUGACAGAAGGUGGCUUACAUCUCUGCGUU